AGCUGUGCUAUCCCAUUUACCUAUGCAGGCAAGAAGUAUUUUAAUUGCAUUAGCCAUAAUUCUGUGAGCGACUGGUGUUCUCUAGACGAAGAAUAUUUAGGGAGAUGGAAAUAUUGUACAAAGGACGACUAUGCCCCUUGUUACUUUCCCUUUGCCUAUAAUGGCAAACUGUGUGACACUUGCACAGUCCAUGGGAGUAUGUUGGGGAUAGCAUGGUGCUCACUCACUGAAAACUUUAACAAGGAUGGAGCUUGGAAGAGUUGCUUCUGAAACAGGCCGUGGAUUCAGACCAGACUGUGAAACCCAAGUGUGGAAGAUCAAGAAAUCUCAAGCUUGAAGGCCACGCCCCGAGGGCCAGAGGUGAUGAAAUCCUUUCCUUUCAGCUCC